rnacentral:misc_RNA from 1 species
UGCAAAACCAAAUGCUAUAGUUGAACCAAAUCAUAUUAGAUACAAAACUGAUAGUGGCGUUACUGAGACUCGUAAGUUCAUGUUGAAAAAUAAUCCAUUCAUAUAUUUAUAUCAACUUGUGCAUCUAUAUAUUUGUUGAUAAGUUUUUCUUCUUAAAGAUGUUUAAUCGAUAGCAUGAUAAAUUUCUUUUCUUUUUUCACAGCUUACGAUUAUAAUGGUAAUCUUAUUGGUCCACAGGUAUGUGUGCAAGAAAAUUAAUUGAUGAAAAUAUAACAUAAAGAAAAUUAUACAUUUAUGGGUGGUAUCACUAACAUAUAAACUAAAAUUUGCAGGCUUAUUCACCUUGGUUUUACAUUUUUCCGAAAGGUAUCAGACAUCUAUUGAAUUACACUAAAGAUAGAUACAACGAUCCAGUAAUUUACAUAACUGAAAAUGGUAAAUUGUUAAUGCCUUUCUCAUGUAGGAGUUCUGGCGAUUAAUUAUAGUAAUAUUUUGAUCUUAUUUCUAAGUUUUCCAUACGCUAAUUUAGGGGUUGAUAAUCUCAAUAAUGAAAGUGAACCCAUUGAGAAAGCGCUUCAAGAUGAAUUCAGAAUAGAGUAUUAUCAAAAGCAUAUGUGGAAUGCAUUGGGAUCUCUCAAGUGAGUCCAAACUCCAAGAUAAUAAUAUAGAGGUUUUUGAUAAUUCUUAAUUAACUUUCCUAACGAUGUCUUGUUUUGGCAGGGAUUACAAGGUUGCCAUUAAAGGUUAUUUUGCAUGGUCAUAUUUAGACAACUUUGAAUGGAAUAUCGGUUAUACAUCAAGGUUUGGUUUGUAUUAUGUAGACUACAAAGACAACCUGAAAAGAUAUCCCAAGCAUUCAGCUAAAUGGUUCACGAAAUUCCUGAAACCAGCGAAUACUCCAAACAUGAUAUCCCAGAUUACUUCAAAGAAUACAAGGAAGGUUGGGAAAUUCUACGUAAUGUAGACUAUGUUGUGACUUUUGUGUGUCUCUUGCAAUUAAAUAAUAUCAAUGCGCUACUGUUAAGCUCCGGUGACCUACCUAAUGCCAUAAUAAUUUUUUCGUGAUGCAUCCAUUACGAAAAUUCUAAGCGUACGUUGUUGUGCUGUUAUUCUGUAUUUUAAUUAAAUGUUAUUAUCCUUUUGAGCAGUGUUCUAGAAAGAAAAAAAAAAAAGAUUUGAGUUUUAAAAAAAAUAUAAAAUUAUUGAAGAUUAGUUAGGUUAUAUGAGAGUUGCCACUGUUUUAUAUCUUGAAUUUAUAAUAACUCGGGUUUUAGAAAAAAAAUUUUCAAAGAUAUUAAAAUAAAUUCUGUAAAAGGAAAAAGUAUAGGCAACAUGGAUCUUUAGUCUUGCUUUGGCUUAAUUUAAUGAGACGAGACCAGAAUCCAUGCAGGCAGAUCAUCAAGUGACCAAUUUCAUGUCUUUGCACAUCAAUUUUAUAUAAGGGGCAAUGCCAAUAAGUGAAAACUACACAAGCACAUGAAAUCAAAAUACCAUAUGGAUUUUUCUUUCCUAGACCUAGUUCAUCAUGG